AUUGAACGCUGGCGGCAGGCCUAACACAUGCAAGUCGAGCGAGCGGCGGACGGGUGAGUAAUGUAUGGGGAACUGCCUGAUGGAGGGGGAUAACUACUGGAAACGGUAGCUAAUACCGCAUACCAUCAGAUGUACCCAUAUGGGAUUAGCUGGUAGGUGAGGUAACGGCUCACCUAGGCGACGAUCCCUAGCUGGUCUGAGAGGAUGAUCAGCCAAACUGGGACUGGUACACGGCCCAGACUCCUACGGGAGGCAGCAGGGGGGAAUAUUGCACAAUGGGCGCAAGCCUGAUGCAGCCAUGCCGCGUGUAUGAAGAAGGCCUGCGGGUUGUAAAGUACUUUCAGCGGGGAGGCGUUACCGCCAGAAGAAGCACCGGCUAACUCCGUGCCAGCAGCCGCGGUAAUUC
rnacentral:rRNA from 1 species